rnacentral:rRNA from 1 species
AUACGGAGGGUGCAAGCGUUAAUCGGAAUUACUGGGCGUAAAGGGCGCGUAGGCGGUCUAUCAAGUCAGGUGUGAAAUCCCACGGCCCAACCGUGGAGGUGCAUCUGAAACUGAUAGACUUGAGUAUGGGAGAGGAAAGUGGAAUUCCCGGUGUAGAGGUGAAAUUCGUAGAUAUCGGGAGGAACACCAGUGGCGAAGGCGACUUUCUGGACCAAUACUGACGCUGAGGCGCGAAAGCGUGGGGAGCAAACAGGAUUAGAAACCCCAGUAGUCC